AGGACGAACGCUGGCGGCGUGCCUAACACAUGCAAGUCGAACGAGGUCCAUCCGGUAGCAAUACCGGAGAAGAUCAAGUGGCGAACGGGUGAGUAGCACGUGAGCAACCUGCCCCGAAGACCGGGACAACACCGGGAAACCGGUGCUAAUACCGGAUAUCCCCACCGAGUCGCAUGGCUUGGUGAGGAAAUGGAUUCCGCUUCGGGAGGGGCUCGCGGCCUAUCAGCUAGUUGGUGAGGUAACGGCUCACCAAGGCUUCGACGGGUAGCUGGUCUGAGAGGACGAUCAGCCACACUGGGACUGAGACACGGCCCAGACUCCUACGGGAGGCAGCAGUGGGGAAUCUUGCACAAUGGGCGAAAGCCUGAUGCAGCAACGCCGCGUGAGGGACGAAGGCUUUCUGAGUUGUAAACCUCUUUCAGCAGGGACGAUUGUGACGGUACCUGCAGAAGAAGCCCGGCAACUACGUGCCAGCAGCCGC
rnacentral:rRNA from 1 species